GUACAGCGUUUUUUAGUGAAUGAUUUUUUAGUGAACCAUGACUGUUGAAUUGCCUUCACUUUUUCGGACAUCCCAGGUGUCUGAUCUGUUUACGCUAUGGCUAUAACCGUUUUUGGUCCUCCUGAGGAUCGUUCACUUUCGAACCUGGAGAGAUUUUCGUAUUUGUGCCAGUCAACACCGCACGGCAGUGUCGUCAGCGUUUCCGCUCUUGUUUCGAAAUUAUUCGGUGCAUGCGGUUCUUGAGCAAAAAUAAGGUCGCAAACAGUGUUCAUUUCAGUCUCUAUACUUAACAAAUAACCUACCAUUGUUUAUUAAAUAGCCAAUGAUAUAACUAGUAAUGUCUGAAUAGUCUGCUGUUCGAAACGAAUUGUUAUCGAAUAUCUAUACAUAAGAACACUUGGUAACUAUCGGUGUUAUACAACAAAAUUUACGUUUAUUCGACACCGUUAAUUUCCUCAUCUUUGCAUCUUGUUUACCUCUAUUCGAAGAUGUCCCUAUUAUCGAGAGUCGUUUAGCAAACAUUAUGGUUCUUGUAUCUUUCCAUACACGACAAUUCCGUCUUGUACCGUCGGUUGAACAUAGGUACUAGUUGAAUCUAGGAACACAAAAUGAAUGCAAACCCUCACAAGCAAUCCCAUUUACAGACUCCGUGUUGUUUUUUUCUCAAUGUUUAUUCACUAUGGUCAUAAAUUUCAGAAGAGUCUCCGCUGCUGACAUCGGCAUGCAUCUGUGUAUGAGUCACCAUAGGAAAUGAACUCUUGUG